rnacentral:rRNA from 1 species
GACGAACGCUGGCGGCGUGCCUAAUACAUGCAAGUAGAACGCUGAAGAGAGGAGCUUGCUCUUCUUGGAUGAGUUGCGAACGGGUGAGUAACGCGUAGGUAACCUGCCUUGUAGCGGGGGAUAACUAUUGGAAACGAUAGCUAAUACCGCAUAACAAUGGAUGACACAUGUCAUUUAUUUGAAAGGGGCAAUUGCUCCACUACAAGAUGGACCUGCGUUGUAUUAGCUAGUAGGUGAGGUAACGGCUCACCUAGGCGACGAUACAUAGCCGACCUGAGAGGGUGAUCGGCCACACUGGGACUGAGACACGGCCCAGACUCCUACGGGAGGCAGCAGUAGGGAAUCUUCGGCAAUGGGGGCAACCCUGACCGAGCAACGCCGCGUGAGUGAAGAAGGUUUUCGGAUCGUAAAGCUCUGUUGUAAGUCAAGAACGAGUGUGAGAGUGGAAAAUUCACACUGUGACGGUAGCUUACCAGAAAGGGACGGCUAACUACGUGCCAGCAGCCGCGGUAAUACGUAGGUCCCGAGCGUUGUCCGGAUUUAUUGGGCGUAAAGCGAGCGCAGGCGGUUUGAUAAGUCUGAAGUUAAAGGCUGUGGCUCAACCAUAGUUCGCUUUGGAAACUGUCAAACUUGAGUGCAGAAGGGGAGAGUGGAAUUCCAUGUGUAGCGGUGAAAUGCGUAGAUAUAUGGAGGAACACCGGUGGCGAAAGCGGCUCUCUGGUCUGUAACUGACGCUGAGGCUCGAAAGCGUGGGGAGCGAACAGGAUUAGAUACCCUGGUAGUCCACGCCGUAAACGACGAGUGCUAGGUGUUGGAUCCUUUCCGGGAUUCAGUGCCGCAGCUAACGCAUUAAGCACUCCGCCUGGGGAGUACGACCGCAAGGUUGAAACUCAAAGGAAUUGACGGGGGCCCGCACAAGCGGUGGAGCAUGUGGUUUAAUUCGAAGCAACGCGAAGAACCUUACCAGGUCUUGACAUCCCGAUGCUAUUUCUAGAGAUAGAAAGUUACUUCGGUACAUCGGUGACAGGUGGUGCAUGGUUGUCGUCAGCUCGUGUCGUGAGAUGUUGGGUUAAGUCCCGCAACGAGCGCAACCCCUAUUGUUAGUUGCCAUCAUUCAGUUGGGCACUCUAGCGAGACUGCCGGUAAUAAACCGGAGGAAGGUGGGGAUGACGUCAAAUCAUCAUGCCCCUUAUGACCUGGGCUACACACGUGCUACAAUGGUUGGUACAACGAGUUGCGAGUCGGUGACGGCAAGCUAAUCUCUUAAAGCCAAUCUCAGUUCGGAUUGUAGGCUGCAACUCGCCUACAUGAAGUCGGAAUCGCUAGUAAUCGCGGAUCAGCACGCCGCGGUGAAUACGUUCCCGGGCCU